AGCCCUGUGGUGUAGCGGUCAAGCAUUGCGGACUCUGGAUCCGCAGACCCAGGUUCGAAUCCUGGCAGGGCUA
rnacentral:tRNA from 1 species